UACGGAGGGUGCAAACGUUGCUCGGAAUCAUUGGGCGUAAAGCGCACGUAGGUGGCUUGUUAAGUCGGGUGUGAAAUCCCUGGGCUCAACCCAGGAAGUGCACUCGAAACUGCCUUUCUUGAGUGCCGGAGAGGAAAGCGGAAUACCUGGUGUAGAGGUGAAAUUCGUAGAUAUCAGGUGGAACACCAGUGGCGAAGGCGGCUUUCUGGACGGUAACUGACGCUGAGACGCGAAAGCGUGGGGAGCAAACAGG
rnacentral:rRNA from 1 species